AUUGAACGCUGGCGGCAUGCCUUACACAUGCAAGUCGAACGGCAGCGGACCUUCGGGUGCCGGCGAGUGGCGAACGGGUGAGUAAUGCAUCGGAACGUGCCAUUGAGUGGGGGAUAACGUAGCGAAAGUUACGCUAAUACCGCAUAUUCUGUGAGCAGGAAAGCAGGGGACCGCAAGGCCUUGCGCUCUUUGAGCGGCCGAUGUCAGAUUAGCUAGUUGGUGAGGUAAAGGCUUACCAAGGCGACGAUCUGUAGCGGGUCUGAGAGGAUGAUCCGCCACACUGGAACUGAGACACGGUCCAGACUCCUACGGGAGGCAGCAGUGGGGAAUUUUGGACAAUGGGCGCAAGCCUGAUCCAGCCAUGCCGCGUGAGUGAAGAAGGCCUUCGGGUUGUUAAA
rnacentral:rRNA from 1 species